CUGGCAGUAAACGGUGCACGCUUGGUGUGGCAGGAAUCGACCCCUGCCGUGCCGGAGCUAACGCGUUAAGCGUGCCGCCUGGGAAGUACGGUCGCAAGAUUAAAACUCAAAGAAAUUGACGGGGACCCGCACAAGCGGUGGAGUAUGUGGCUUAAUUCGAUGCAACGCGAAGAACCUUACCUGGGCUUGACAUGCAUUCUGUCACCGGUGAAAGCCGGUUAGUGGAGCAAUCCACGGUUUGCACAGGUGU
rnacentral:rRNA from 1 species